rnacentral:sRNA from 1 species
GGGCGUAUUCCCGCCGCGCAGGGCGCUGGGGGGGUCCUGAGAGAGGGAGAGACUGGGGCUGCGGGCGCGCGGAGGGGAGCGAGCCGAGGGGCGCGCGGCGGCGACGCGUCCGGCGAAUUUUGAAUUGGUCCCCCUGGGAAGUUUCGAUUUAUCUUUUCUGUACUACAAAAAAAGAAAGUGUCAUAUCCACUCUACCAAACUUCUCCUCUACACACUUGAAUCUAUUACAGCGUUUUGGUGCAUAAGAGAAUUUUCUGCUCAUUGGGUUGUUUGAGGGCAGAGUCUGUGUUUUAUAUGUGUAUCUCUAGUACCCGACUAACUGCUUAACGUGGAGGAAAAACCCCUGUGUAAAUUUGUUGAAUUGGGGUUUUGAAUGGUAGAGGAUACAGAAAUUUGGCUUCUUGGUAGCCAAAAAAAAAAAAAAAAAAAAAAAACACGUGCUUUGAAGUCUCUGUCCUUCCUGCAGUGUUAGGCAGAACAAACGUGGGUGCCAGAUUCUAAUGGAGUUGUCUGGUCCAGGGAGAUUAGCGAGAGGCUGGGGCAUGGGCUCAGGAGUCUAAUCAAGAUAGGAAAUAAAUCGUGUGCCCGAAUAAUUCUCUGAAUUCAGUAACGGGGGACAGUUUUGCUAUUAGGCCCAGCCUAAAUAGGUGACAAAUAACUGAAAUACAGGAGGAUUCUACAAAUAAUGG